AGGAUAAUAGUUAAACUCAUAACAUUUAAUUUGCAUUUAAAAAUUAUUAUAUAAAUUUAUCUUA
rnacentral:tRNA from 1 species